rnacentral:lncRNA from 1 species
CAGAUCAUCUUACUCUACAAUCCCAUACCAAAAAUUAGUAUAAUAGUUCCAAAAUCAAAUGAAAUUCAGGGCUGAAAACAUAACUUCACGCAAGAGUCAAAUACUAAUUCAGGGCAACCCUCCAACGCCCAUGGCCAAACUCCAUUAUAGGCUUCUAAUACUCCUCUAGCCGAGCAGUUUCAUAGUCCCAUAUUAUCAAGAAACAGUUUAAAUCAGAUUCAAUCUCCUUCCAAUUUGAAGGCAGCAAACCACGCAAUUUUCAUCCCAAAUUUCGACGUUGGCGUUGAGAACCACGGUCGGGGACCACUACCAUUUUCUUCUACUCAACAUGGUGAACAAAAUGCAUAUACGGGUCUUCAUCAAUUUGUCUUGAAUCAACCAAUUAGUGAAGAUGCACCUUUCUACCUGUAAAUGCCUCUCGACUCCAUUUCAAUUGAACACUUAAAUCUGUACCAAUUGGUUGGACAUGAUCCAUUGGAAUUCGUGACACAAAACUUAAUUAAAACUUUAUCAAAAUUUCAAUGCUCUCCAAUUUGGUGGAUUAAGAAUAAAGGUUUUUUUGUAUUUUUGUAUUUUUAGUUUUGAAUUUUAAGAAUAUAUUUUUAACUCAUUUGUAAUUUUUUUAAAUUUGGG